GGAUGUGGCUCAGUGGUAGAGCACUCGCCUCACACAUGCGAAACCCAGGGUUCGAUCCUCAGAACCACAUACA
rnacentral:tRNA from 1 species